GACGAACGCUGGCGGCGUGCUUAACACAUGCAAGUCGAACGGAAAGGCCCUGCUUUUGUGGGGUGCUCGAGUGGCGAACGGGUGAGUAACACGUGAGUAACCUGCCCUUGACUUUGGGAUAACUUCAGGAAACUGGGGCUAAUACCGGAUAGGAGCUCCUGCUGCAUGGUGGGGGUUGGAAAGUUUCGGCGGUUGGGGAUGGACUCGCGGCUUAUCAGCUUGUUGGUGGGGUAGUGGCUUACCAAGGCUUUGACGGGUAGCCGGCCUGAGAGGGUGACCGGCCACAUUAGGACUGAGAUACGGCCCAGACUCCUACGGGAGGCAGCAGGGGGGAAUAUUGCACAAUGGGCGGAAGCCUGAUGCAGCAGCGCCGCGUGCGGGAUGACGGCCUUCGGGUUGUAAACCGCUUUCGCCUGUGACGAAGUGUGAGUGACGGUAAUGGGUAAAGAAGCACCGGCUAACUACGUG
rnacentral:rRNA from 1 species